UUAAAUUUCCCCAAAUUAUCUCCACUAAUUAACAAUUAAUCAUCAGAUUUAAUACCUAAUUCAAACAUUAUGCUAAUUAAACAUGCUAAUUCACCAAAGAAAUUGAAAGAGGGGCUAGGUUAUGUGUUUACGUGUUCCUCUUCUUCUCGAACGAAGAACGGCGAUGCGCGCGGCGCGCGGCGCGCGGCGGAGGAAGCCUCCUCUCCGAUUAAACUCGCUCACCUCUCGAACUCACGGCGGCCGGAGAUUAUCAAGCCUCCUUCCGAUCAGCCUUUCCCUCUCCCGUCUCUCGGAUAUCAGUCUCAUCUCCUCCGACGAAACUAAUGGCGCCAAACUCUUUGCUCAUCUCUCAAUUAAUCUUCUCUCUGCUCAACGAUCUCUUCUCGUCUCCGUUUGAUCCUUUUUCUCCUUUUGCUCAUUUCUGAAUCUUGAUAUGAUGUUGUUGUAGAGCAGACAAAGUAUCGACGAUUGCGUUCGCGUCGACGAAGAUUCAGAUGCGUCUCGAAGUCGUUGAUGAGCCGACGAAGGUCGUUGGACUGAGAGGAUGAUGGUGAACGCGAUGAGAUGCGGUGUUGAUGAUUGAUGAAGAUGAACCUUUAGCAGUGAAGAUGAAGAUUAAUGGAAUUGAUGAUGAAUAUGGAAGUUGUUACGAUUCGGUUACAAAUGAAUGAAUUGCAGGGAGAUAUAUGAGAUUGAAGAUUUGUGGUUUCUUGAUUCUUCUGCCGUAAAUUGAAGGAGCUUUUUUGUGAAAGAUUCGAUUGAAGAGAGUGUGGUGAAGUUAUGAAGAAGAUGAAUGAAGAUUCCAGUUCUUUUGGUGAUCAAUGAGGAGUGUUGAAGGUUAUGGUUAUGAUGAUGAAUGUUCUUGAUUGAUGGAGAGAAUCGAGAGUUUUUUUUGAAGUUUUUUUUUUUGGUCCAAGGUUGAGCGUGGAGAAUCGGUGAUGAAGUUUUCUGAUGAAGAGAGAGGGAUCUCAAUUCUGUUACAGGAAACAUGGAGCGCAGGGUCCUGACUGGUUUUUUUUCAUACCGCAAGUGGUUCGGUUCUUAUUCUCCUCUUUUCUGUAUGCAGAAUUUUGGUUUACAGGGUGCGUCCCUAUUGUUUGUAUUGAAGGCUAUGGGCAUAAAUGACAUAAGUUCUUCCUGCUGGUGGCCUGAAGACGAAGUCAUGACAUGAGCUUUUACACUGGAGAUUAGAAACAAAAUAGAUUUUGCAUAUUGAUGAAUUUGUGAAGGAUGGACAUUUGAGAAUGUAUGGAUGAAUAUUUGGGAUUCGAAAUGAUAGUGUACACCCUUGAAAACCUUUUCAAUUCAAUAAUAAAUUCUCCAUAUUCAAAACAAACCUCUCAAAUUAAUCUUGAAAUUCCCAUGAAGUUUCAUAUUCAAAACAAACCUCUCAAAUUAAUCUUGAAAUUCCCAUGAAGUUUCUUUCUCUUUUAAAUGUAUAUGUAAACUUUCACUUUCUGCCCUUUGCACUCCACCUUCAAAAAUGAAUUAAAUCAAAUUUGUAAUGGAGGAUACCAUAAAUUGUUCUUGAAAUUUUGGAUGAAUCUUAUGAUGAAUGCUUGAAACUUGUAACUUAAGUCCAUUUUGAUUAUCUUUGCACUCGAAUC